rnacentral:lncRNA from 1 species
CAAAAGGCCCUUCUCAGGAUGGGAAUAUUUUAAGGACGAUCUCAAAGGGGAGAAGCAAAGCAGACCACAAAUCUGGAGGCCUGAGCCCAAGGGAUGUGUGGAGAAAUGGUUGGGUCUCCGGAGUUGGCCAGAAAGAGAAUGUUCACAUGAGAACCAUGGCCCCACGUAGCAAGCUUGGAGAUGGUUGUGUUGUCUCCUGAUUAUCAGCCCAGGGAAGGGAGGGUAGGAGGUGAGGACGUCACCCAGAAGCCAGAUUUAACUAGCCGACCUUGGAGAAUUUGGGAGAGAAGCACACCCUGUCUAGCAGACUCAGCUCCUACUUUCUUGGAAACAGGAGGCAUCCGGAGAAGCGUAGCCGUCCUUGCUGGGCUGCACAGUUUACUACGGGAAAUGUAACAGGGUUGUGUUUAGUAUUUUCUUUUUUGUGGCUCCAUAUUUAGAGCGCAAUGCUGGGGCCUCGGAUCAUAGGACUUCCUCCUUGGUGAAGAGAUGACGUCUUUCACUGAGGUUUGUUUGCUGCUGUAGGGAAGGCGAAACAUUUGAUGGAAGAAGGGCCUUUGCCAGGCAGGAGCCCUUUCCUUCCCCCUGGAGGAGAGUUCCAGGGAGGCAGGUCAGCCCUGGGUUCUGCAGCCAGGAAUUCAGCUUCAGGCACCAUCCACAGAAAUGCCUGGGAGGAGUACACGGUUGUUUUCCGAAACAUCAACCUCCAAGAGUCAGGGAGGCUCCUUAACAACCUGCUAUGGAUUGACCAUGAGUUUAUUUAAGCCCUCCCUGAACCUGUUUAUGUUUCAUUAAACUCUUUUAUUGAUCCUCUUAAUUUUCCCUUUGCUGAUUUACUCAAGGCCUUGACUUCACACCCGUCUCCCUGGAGUUCAGGUUUCAAGGGCUUCCAAAGUGCAUCUGGGGUACCCAGGCCCCAGCCAAGGGCCAGAGCCGCGUAAUGGGCCUUAUGUGCCCUUCUGCCACCUUCAGCAACUUUCUCUUCCUGCUCCUCUAGACCCCACAGGAAGGUCAGGUCUGCCUCUCCCCUGCCUCCAUUCAACCUUUGCCUUUUAAAUGCUUAACCCCAAACAAUGAGUCUUUGGUGGAGAAAUCUCAGACUGCUCUUAUCUAGUGGUAGAGAUGCUUUGGGGUGGCAAGGCCUUUAAAUUCCACUUUGUAUGUGGCCCUCUAGUGGUAGAAAUAAUGUUCAUUAAAGCCACAAUCCGUUGAGAGGGUAGGGAGGUGGGAAGUUUGCAGAAUGACUGCUGGAUCAGCUUGGGAAAUUUACAGAUGAUCUGUUUCAAUCCAUUCUCAUUUGCUCCCCCAAAUUGGGUUCUGUUUACACUUGGCAUUAAAAAAAAAGAAAAGAAAAGAAAAAGAAAGAAAGAACAAGCUUCGUAUGUGGCUAUGGCAGACAGAAAGAAAAGGCUUGGUGACCACGUGGUGU